rnacentral:rRNA from 1 species
UACGUAGGUGGCAAGCGUUGUCCGGAAUUAUUGGGCGUAAAGCGCGCGCAGGCGGCUUUGCAAGACAGAUGUGAAAUCCCCGGGCUCAACCUGGGAACUGCAUUUGUGACUGCAUGGCUAGAGUACGGUAGAGGGGGAUGGAAUUCCGCGUGUAGCAGUGAAAUGCGUAGAUAUGCGGAGGAACACCGAUGGCGAAGGCAAUCCCCUGGACCUGUACUGACGCUCAUGCACGAAAGCGUGGGGAGCAAACAGG